GGACAUGUAGCUCAGUGGGUAGAGCCUCUGCUUUGCACGCAAAAGGUUCCGGAUUCAGUACCCAGUGGCAUCUUCA